rnacentral:rRNA from 1 species
UACGAAGGGGGGCUAGCGUUGCUCGGAAUCACUGGGCGUAAAGCGCACGUAGGCGGAUUGCUAAGUCAGGGGUGAAAUCCUGGAGCUCAACUCCAGAACUGCCUUUGAUACUGAAAGUCUUGAGUAUGGGAGAGGUGAGUGGAACUGCGAGUGUAGAGGUGAAAUUCGUAGAUAUUCGCAAGAACACCAGUGGCGAAGGCGGCUCACUGGCCCAUUACUGACGCUGAGGCACGAAAGCGUGGGGAGCAAACAGG